CGUAGGUGGCAAGCGUUGUCCGGAUUUAUUGGGUUUAAAGGGUGCGUAGGCGGCGCCAUAAGUCAGUGCUGAAAUAUCCCGGCUUAACCGGGAGGGUGGCAUUGAUACUGUGGUGCUUGAGUGUAGUCGAGGUAGGCGGAAUUGACGGUGUAGCGGUGAAAUGCUUAGAUAUCGUCAAGAACACCGAUAGUGUAGACAGCUUACUAGGCUACAACUGACGCUGAGGCACGAAAGUGUGGGGAUCAAACAGGAUUAGAUACCCUGGUAGUCCACACUGUGAACGUUGAUUACUCGAUGUUGGCGAUACACAGUCAGCGUCUUAGCGCAAGCGAUAAGUAAUCCACCUGGGGAGUACGCCGGCAACGGUG
rnacentral:rRNA from 1 species